rnacentral:lncRNA from 1 species
UUAGCAGUGCGCGUGCGGGAGCGCGGAGACGUGGCAAGCGGGGCUGGGUCGCGCGGGGCCUCUUCCGGGGUUAGGAAGCAGUCCGGGUCUACUCCAUCCGCAAGGACUCUGCGGCCGCUCACGCGCCGGAGCCUCCACCCAGUUGACCCUCAAGGCACCAAAAGCACAGAGAAGUGGAGAAUGCUUGGUGUGGGAAAACCCACACAUCUGGUGUCAGAAUUGGUGUGAGUAGCAGUGGUACCAGAAAACUCUGUUUUCUGACUCAGAUGGUAAAAGUAACCUAUACCCGAGGCAUCAUAAUUCAUCUAGCACCUUGCCUAGACUUCUUAAGAAUCUCCAAAUACCAUGCAUUAGAAAACAAAAAACAGGGGACCGGCCCGGUGGCGCAGCGGUUAGGUUUGCACGUUCUGCUUCUCGGUGGCCCGGGGUUUGCCGGUUUGGAUCCCAGGUGCGGAUGGACAUGGCACCGCUUGGCAUGCCGUGCUAUGGUAGGCGUCCCACAUAGAAAGUAGAGGAAGAUGGGCACGGAUGUUAGCUCAGGGCCAGGCUUCCUCAGCAAAAAAGAGGAGGACUGGCAGUAGUUAGCUCAGGGCUAAUCUUCCUAAAAAAAAAAAAAAGAAAGAAAGAAAACAAAACAAAAAACAUAUGUACAUAUAAACACAAAAUGAGGUCUUCCUUUACCACUUUUUGGUAAGUUGCCUCUUUUGCCUGACAAUACCUAAUGACCAAUGCCCCAUGUCAAUAAAUAUAAGUCUAUAACCAGGGUCAGAUCUAGGUUUUAGGGCCCUGAAGCAUACCUAAUUGGGGAGGGAGAACUCUUUAAGAAAAAAAUAGAGGAUUACAAUACAAUGUCAGUAGCCCUACAAUGCCAUCCAAAACCAGGGAAAGUAUGACAGACGGAAGUCAGAUUGGAAAGGGACAGUAGUCCUAACCGUUACUCUUAAAAUAUCCUUGUUUUGCAAAUAAUAAUGAUAAUAGCAAUGUAAGUACAUGGCCAGCAUCACUCCCAGGGUCUUGGAAGGAGCCGCGGGGAGCCAGCCUUCAUUCCUUCAUGGUAGACCUGCUUUCGCCUCUGUCAUCAGUGGCUACAUAGGAUGGUAUUAAUGGGAGGUAUAAAAUUUUGUGUGCUCUGUUUCCUGUUGUUUCAAACUUGCUGUUGUUAGUAACACUUUGAUAAUCAUUCGUGUGCUGAUAUUUUCGUCUGCAUGUCUGAUUCCUUACAAUGAAUUCCAAGAAGCAAAAUUUCUGAGUCAAAUGGAAUGAAAUCCUUUACUACAUGUUUCCGUGUCACUGACCAGAAAGUACAUGUCAGAACAUACCCCCUCCAGUAGGGUGUGAGGAGUCACCUUCCUCGUCCCAUGCAGACAAUGGGUGUUUUUGGUUAUUCACUUCCUGGAGCAGAUACUGGUGAUGUACUCCCUCAGCUCUGUUUCAUCCUCUGCCGUGAACCCUCCAUGAUAGAAAGCUAAUGACUGCAUCCUCCAGACUCCCUCAUAGCACCAGGUCUGCGAAUGUCCUGCAUGUCAUUGCCAAGAGACUGCCCUGUCCCAGAACCACCGACGGGGGACAGGGCUGUGCUUCUGCUUUUGCUGCCAAGAACAGUAGUGGGGAUUUGGUUUUCGGCUGCAGCAGUAAACCAUCCCAGGAUCCACUUCUUACCUUAUCAAGAUGCAUCAUUUUACCAGCAUAGGCGACAUCCGAGGCACUUUGGUCUCAGAGCCAACAGGUGGGACAGUGGCUUCCUGAUACCCUAGUUUCUUGAUCAUAGCAGCGGUCACUGCCUUGUUGGCGGCCCAGUUCUUCAGUGUUAUUCUGAGGAGGGUGCUGUUGGAGGAGGAAGACGUUUCCUCUACUCACUGUAGGUCCUUCUGGCUGGGCUACAAAUUAAAUGGACAUUGAGACAGAAUCACAGGAGAAAAUCAAACAAAGCUUUAGAACAUGUAUACAUGAGAGAGACCCAGGAAAACUGAGGAACUCACCAAAAUGGCAGAGGCUCUCAUCUUAAAUACCAUCUUCAGCUGCAGACAAAGGAGGAUGUUGGGGGUGGGGAGAGUCAAUUAUGGGAGAUUACCAGAAAAGUAGAGUAAACAAGAGUAAGGUUACUAUGCAGACUUAAGUCCUUGCCUUCUGCACUGAUAAGAGUUUCUAGAGAUUAGUCAUCCCUCCUUCUUCCUGGUACAGAGAGAGAGACACCUUUACAGAUGGAGAUUUCCCUUACAAAUGUAAAUGUCUCUUACAAAGGGUAACUUCUACUUUUCAGAGUUUCUCUCAUGUCUGCAGUUUUUAAAAGUAACCGGCCCAAAAUAAUCCAAAGAGACAUAUCUUGGGGUGGCCAAUUCCAAUCCCCCACAGUGUCAUUCCUGGAACCUCAGCCUAGAACUUCCUCCUUCAAUUCUGGAACAGUUUUGUACGCACAUAAUUCCAUGUUAAAAUCCAUUCUGCUUAAGUAGCUGGAGUGAUUUCUGUUACCUGGGGCCAAGUCCUAACUGAUAGAUGCAUCUCACACACACGCACACACACACAAUAUCUUCUUUAAAACAUUGUUUUACUAAUGACAAGAGAUUUUCACGUAUUGAGGUAUGUGAGGUAAUUAUUCAUUCAAAACUGAUUUGGCUUGAACUAAAAAGCCUGACUUAUGACCUAUCAAACGUACAUUGUACAUCUGCGUAUCCAUUAAAGAGUGCAUUCUCCUAAGAAUGCAUACUUCCCCUCCAAUCAGUGACAGCCGAUUGGUAACGCCUGGAUUAGUCCCUUUCCUGAUGUCAUGGUCAUGUUUGUUACUGAACCAGGUUUAUUUUUGCCCACCACCCAGAAAGGCAAACACCAAGACAGCGAGAUGGCAGCAGAGAGAGUUUACUUACAAGGCAGCCACACGAGGAAGCGAGAGCAAUCAGCCUCAAAUUUGCUUCCCCGAAAACAAGGACUCAGGGAUAUUUAUGGGAUGGGGCAAGGCGGUUGGAAAUGUGGAGAGAGGUGAUUGGAGGUGAGGUAAUUGGUGAUCUGUGCAAGUGUAGUCAGACUUCAUGCCUCUUCAUAGGACCCACGUUCGCAAAAUGGCGACGUUUGUAUGAUCUGAGGGUCGAGUUUUUAGCCUCUUGAGGUCUAAAGGUCACCUAUCAGAUGUCUCCGUGGGCCCAGUUGAUGAGUUGGUGGUCUCAGCUGGCCUGAAGUGGACAGGGAGUUUUAAUUCCUGAAAAACAGCUCACACACCCAUUACCAUGGGGACCCAGGCUCCAGGGAAUUGUUAUUUAUAGGAGCUGUGAGGGACUGGAAUUAACUACCCCAAGAUAUGUCUCUUUGGCAUGAGGAUUAUUUGAGG